UGGAGAGAUGUCGAAAUAUGAA
rnacentral:siRNA from 1 species